AGUGAACGCUGGCGGUAGGCCUAACACAUGCAAGUCGAACGGCAGCACAGUAAGAGCUUGCUCUUACGGGUGGCGAGUGGCGGACGGGUGAGGAAUACAUCGGAAUCUACUUUUUCGUGGGGGAUAACGUAGGGAAACUUACGCUAAUACCGCAUACGACCUACGGGUGAAAGCAGGGGAUCUUCGGACCUUGCGCGAUUGAAUGAGCCGAUGUCGGAUUAGCUAGUUGGCGGGGUAAAGGCCCACCAAGGCGACGAUCCGUAGCUGGUCUGAGAGGAUGAAUCGGCACAAUGGCAGUGAGGAACGGUACAGACUCCGACAGUGGGAAGCAGUGGGGAAUAUUGGACAAUGGGCGCAAGCCUGAUCCAGCCAUACCGCGUGGGUGAAGAAGGACUUCGGGUUGUAAAGCCCUUUUGUUGGGAAAGAAAAGCAGCAGGUUAAUACCCCGCUGUUCUGACGGUACCGAAAGAAUAAGCACCGGCUAACUUCGUG
rnacentral:rRNA from 1 species